GUUUUAUCUAUUUAUUGAUGACUCUCUUUUCUAAAUAAGAUUGUUCUCUCUUCAUGGCAGUGUGGUGCAGAUAACCCAGUCCUCAGAAAGGGAGCAGGGACAUUUUCACACAUGUAUUGGAAUACUCAAGUACAGCAUACAGAUAAAAUACUAAUAUAUGUUCACAGAGGGAGAAAUAGACAACAUUCAGAAGCAAACGGAGGUUAAUUUAAAAGUACUGGUUAUGUCACCAAUCAGAGUUUAUAUUGCCUUUAAGGAUUAGUCAACUUUACUGAGUUGUGUACUCGGAGACGGGAUAAUAAUUCAUGUGAGAAAGAGAAGAUGGCAUGGCCCAGAGACACCAGCUUCCAGAUCAUCUCAGAAAGAAGGAAAAAGUUUAGAUGAAAAAGAAAAAAUGAACAAUCAG
rnacentral:lncRNA from 1 species